CCUGCUCCUGGAUGACGAUAUCGAUCGGUUUUCCGGUAAGCGCGGAUGCAAUCGCGCUGCGUGCCUGUUCGGUUGCGGUGCCGGAGGGCAGGGC
rnacentral:tRNA from 1 species